AAAGAAACCAACAGGGAUUGCCUCAGUAACGGCGAGUGAAGCGGCAAAAGCUCAAAUUUGAAAGCCUCGGCAUUGUAAUUUCAAGGUAAUUUCUCGCAAGACCACUUAAGUCCAUUGGAACAUGGCGCCGUGGAGGGUGACAGCCCCGUAAAGUGUCAACGCAUCGAAAUUACCAAAGAGUCGAGUUGUUUGGGAAUGCAGCUCUAAGUGGGUGGUAAAUUCCAUCUAAAGCUAAAUAUUGGCGAGAGACCGAUAGCGAACAAGUACAGUGAUGGAAAGAUGAAAAGCACUUUGAAAAGAGAGUGAAACAGUACGUGAAAUUGUUGGAAGGGAAGGGCUUGCAAGCAGACAGGUUCGCCGGCCAGGACUUGUGGAGGAAGAGACAAAAAGCCUUGGGAGGGCGCCCUCGGGCUACUCCCUCGGAAACGCCUUCUCCCCUACAUCCCCUGGCGUAAUGCUUGUAAGCCGC
rnacentral:rRNA from 1 species